GCUCGAAUGGUGCAAUUGGUCUAGCAAGUCGGGUUGCAUGGUGGACGGAGUAGACGUUCUUGUCUGCGCUGCCAAAGCUUGCUUGAGGCCCACUGUCCUGAGUUCCUGGAGACCUCAGUUCGAGUCUGAGGUUGAGCA
rnacentral:tRNA from 1 species